CCCCAGCUGCUCAGCCAGCUUUUUAGGUGCCUAUUGUGCAGGCUGCCUUCUAUGCCCAGUGGGAUAUCUGUGAUACUGUUGUGUUAAUGUGCUUCAGCUUUCUGCAGUUUUUACUGCCACAUUUUCCUCCUCUGGCUGCAAUCAACCUGAAGUUUCUGGUGUGUCAGUGGAAUAAAAGAGAAAGAGGUGGGAUGUAUAUAGCAAGCCAGACUGGAAGUAGAGUAAUAACAAAGUUGCUGAGACCUUUUGUGGAAGCAGCAGUGACUUCUUUUUUCCAAAGAUGCAUAUACCUACAGUGGAUACUCUACAGUGAGAAUCUGGGAAGCUGUAAGGGUCAGAAAUGAUAAAAAUUGGAAUUUUUUGCUUGGGUGGUGGUUUGGGCUAUACCCAGAAGUUGCAGUUCUUCUUGAAGGUCUUCAAAACUGUUUUGUAGGUAUUUGUACUGCUCUUAUGUAAAUACAAAUGGGAUCUUAGUCACAUGCUUAAACAUAUUUUGUCUUUAAUACAGCAGAAAAACUGUCAUAAAAGAGCUGUGAGACAGUGAAAGAAAUCUGAGCAUCUUUGCUGUACAGUGCAGUGACAGAAUGCUGCAAACCUACUUGCCUUGAGUCAGCUCAGUUUCUAUAUUUUAGUGAAGGGCAGUAUUUGCCUUCUUCCUCCUGUCUUCCAGCAGUAAUGCAUAAAGAGCGAAUAUUAUACAAAUACUCAUAUGCCUGAAGUUAGAAUUGACUGAUGUAUCCUCAGCAAAUUUGCAUUUAAUUUAAUCUGCUGCAAUUCAUUCAGUCCUUUUAAAAAUGCUCAUAAACUAAGCUGUUGCAACCCAGUCUCUCAGAAAAUCUGUUUAUUAGAAAGCUGCUAAUUAAUCUUUUCCCACUUUUUAUCUAAUGCUUUUAUUUCAUAAAGAGUUGAUAUGGCUUUUAGUUCUAAAUGAAAUUUUUCAGGAUGACUGUCUUACAUUAUUUAGUAUGUGUUAGCAAACAGGGUACCAGUUCACAGCUCAGCUUAGAUUGUUGGGAAUUCUAAGAUGAUUAUUUUUUAUUGCUUCCUAGAGGGUGGUUGCAGCUGCUUACGUGUAUGAUGAAAUCUAUUUAUAUCUGUUCAGGAGCAACUACUACUGUGUUACAGACUAAAGUUUAACCUGAAGAAGGCUGCUUGCUUUCCCCUUUUUGCGUUUCACAUUUUGUUGUUCUUUUUCUUGACAGUUUUUUCAAGUUACAGGUGGAAGAAAAGUGGGACAAAAUGUCAGUUAGUGAGGAAAAUAUGUAGAAGCAUGACAUGAUGUUACCUUCAUGUCCAUUCUUCCCUGGGCCUGUCAAACAUGAUGCAAAACAGAUGGCAGAGGCAACACAGUGCCAUGGGAGAGCUUUUGAUCUUUGGUGCUGACUUUCAUGGCAAAACUGUCCAAUCACCUUUAGAGCAGGCACAAUGCCAUAGCAACAGAUGAGGAGGAGUGUAAGUAGCAAUAUAUCAUAUCUGUUUGUUGAGCUGAGAAUGUCCAAAAGGCUUUAGGUUCAAAUAAACAGCUUGCCUGCACUUGGUGCGGCAAAGGGAGAAGAGAAGGUGAUUCAGAGCUGUGUGUGUCCUUCUCAGCUCUUUUGUUGCAUGUUGUCUUUGGUAAACUGCUCUUUGAUAUAACCUAGAGCAGCAUAAAUAUAAAUCUCCUUUUAGCAAGUGAUUUGUUUCCCAAAAGAUAGAUCUGUUCUACUACCUUCUCUCUCUAACUCUGAUUUUAGCUUUGAUGGCAAAUAAAACUGUAAGUGGGAUGCUCAGGAAACCACAGUGUGAACAUUCAGUUAAAAAGCUGAUGUUUGUCAAGCUUUUGGAUUAGCCUGUCAAGCCUUAUUAUUCUUUCCGCACCAACCAGCAAAAUAAGGCUUGAUUUCAUAUUCCGGAUUCUUUACAUCUAUUUCAGUGCAUCUUAGUCAGUAAGGCACAGUGGUAUUUGAGAUUUUUUGGACAUCUUCCUUUUAUAUAUCUACAUAUGUUUUGUAUUUCUGGCUUGUUGAUAAGCCCUGACGGUCAUCUUUGGAUAGUCAUACCCAAACAAGAGAGGAAAUAAAGAUAUCUGCCUUAGAUGCCAUGUAUUUUUGGAUGUAUAAGACCUUCCCAAGGAUGAAAAUGGAAAAUUUAGUAGGGGUUUCUCUAACUGGAGGUUUUUCAAUCUCACAUUAAUUGUUGCAAGAUGGUAUGAAAUACUUAAUAUUGUUCAGGAGUAAGGAACAAAUAAAUCCACGCUAUCUCACUGCCUCAU
rnacentral:lncRNA from 7 species